GGCUCAGAACGAACGCUGGCGGCGUGCCUAACACAUGCAAGUCGAGCGAGAAAGUCCGCAAGGAUGAGUAAAGCGGCGCACGGGCGCGUAACACGUGGGUAAUCUUCCUUGAAGCCCGGAAUAACUCCCCGAAAGGGGUGCUAAUGCCGGAUAAGACCACGGGAUCUCCGGAUCCUGAGGGAAAAGGCGGCCUCUGUAUACAAGCUGUCACUUCGAGAUGAGCCCGCGGCCCAUCAGCUAGUUGGCGGGGUAAUGGCCCACCAAGGCUACGACGGGUAGCUGGUCUGAGAGGACGAUCAGCCACACUGGAACUGAGACACGGUCCAGACUCCUACGGGAGGCAGCAGUGGGGAAUCUUGCGCAAUGGGCGAAAGCCUGACGCAGCAACGCCGCGUGUGUGAUGAAGGUCUUCGGAUCGUAAAGCACUGUCGGGAGGGACGAAUAAGGUGGCGGCUAACAUCCGUCGCUGAUGACGGUACCUCCAAAGGAAGCACCGGCUAACUCUGUGCCAGCAGCCGCGGUAAUACAGAGGGUGCUAGCGUUGUUCGGAAUUAUUGGGCGUAAAGCGCGUGUAGGCGGCCAGGCAAGUUGGGUGUGAAAGCCCUCGGCUUAACCGAGGAAGUGCGCCCAAAACUACUUGGCUUGAGUACCGGAGAGGGUGGCGGAAUUCCCGGUGUAGAGGUGAAAUUCGUAGAUAUCGGGAGGAACACCAGUGGCGAAGGCGGCCACCUGGACGGAUACUGACGCUGAGACGCGAAAGCGUGGGUAGCAAACAGGAUUAGAUACCCUGGUAGUCCACGCUGUAAACGAUGAGCGCUAGGUGUUGUGGGUGUUGACCCCUGCAGUGCCGCAGCUAACGCAUUAAGCGCUCCGCCUGGGGAGUACGGCCGCAAGGCUAAAACUC
rnacentral:rRNA from 1 species